rnacentral:RNase_P_RNA from 1 species
GCGUGUGGAUGUGACGGCCGCGGGCCUGCCGAGAGGCGGGUCUGAGGAAAGUCCGAACACGACAGGACACGGUGGUGGGUAACACCCACCGGGCGGGCUGGCGACGGCCCGUUUAGGGAUAGCGCAACAGAAAGGAAACCGCCUGGGUCAGUGAUGAGUGACGAGUGAACAGUAACGAGUAUCGGUUUUGACUCAUCACUGAGAACUCGUCACUCAUCACUGAUCCAGGUAAGGGUGAAAGGGUGCGGUAAGAGCGCACCGCUCGCUUGGCGACAGGCGAGGCAUGGCAAGCCCCACCGCGUGCAAACUCAAGCAGCCCCGGAAACGGCUUGCCGUUUCGCCCACGGUCCGUGGUGGGGCGGGUAGAGCGCUUGAGCCCGUCGGCAACGGCGGGCCUAGAGAAAUGGCCGUCCCCCGCAAGGGGAACAAAAUUCGGCUUACGGUCCACACAUUAAA